rnacentral:rRNA from 1 species
GAUGAACGCUGGCGGCGUGCCUAAUACAUGCAAGUCGAGCGAACAGAUGAGGAGCUUGCUCCUCUGACGUUAGCGGCGGACGGGUGAGUAACACGUGGAUAACCUACCUAUAAGACUGGGAUAACUUCGGGAAACCGGAGCUAAUACCGGAUAAUAUAUUGAACCGCAUGGUUCAAUAGUGAAAGUCGGUUUUGCUGUCACUUAUAGAUGGAUCCGCGCCGCAUUAGCUAGUUGGUAAGGUAACGGCUUACCAAGGCAACGAUGCGUAGCCGACCUGAGAGGGUGAUCGGCCACACGGGAACGGAGACACGGUCCAGACUCCUAAGGGAGGCAGCAGUAGGGAAUCUUCCGCAAUGGGCGAAAGCCUGACGGAGCAACGCCGCGUGAGUGAUGAAGGUCUUCGGAUCGUAAAACUCUGUUAUUAGGGAAGAACAAAUGUGUAAGUAACUAUGCACGUCUUGACGGUACCUAAUCAGAAAGCCACGGCUAACUACGUG